GCCCGACCCCCUGGGCUCAGCCCGACCCCCUGAGCUCACAGCCCGACCCCCUGAGCUCACAGCCCGACCCCCUGAGCUCACAGCCCGACCCCCUGAGCUCAGCCCGACCCCCUGGGCUCAGCCCGACCCCCUCCGCUCGCAGCUCGCUCCGGACAAGGCGCAGCCGGAGGCGGAGGAAGCGGCGGAGCCGGCCCGGGGGACAGACGGACGCUCCAGCCCCUCCAACCCGGCCCCCAACCCCUCGGGGGGCUCUCCCAGCCCCUGCCGGACCCACAGCGAGACCUACAAGCGCCUCUUCUCCAGCUUCUACUCCAAAGGGAACCAUCCCAUCAUGUCCCCGCUGGCCAAGAAGAAGCUGCUGGCGCAGCGAGGGGCUGCAGCCCGGCUGCCCCCCGCUCUGGGGGGAUUUCUCCAGCCUCAAGGAUUUUUUGGAGCCGCCUUCCACCUUCCCUGGGCGGCCGGAGGAGCCCGAGCAGCCGCAAGAGGCGCGGGGCAGAGCGGGGCGGCCGUGGGAGAAGCGGGCGGCGGUGCGGGGCUGCUGGGUCCCCCCCGGGAGCGGCCACCACGAGGAGGAGGAGGAGGAGGAUGAAGAUGAGGAUGAGGAAGACGAGGAAAGCUUCGGCCCCACGCCCGAGUCACGCUCCGUGUCCCCCUUGGCCAAGGAGGGCGGGGAGCGGCGGAUCCGCUCGCCCGGAGGCCACCGGGGGCUGCCCAAACCCCGAGCCGUGGUGGCCGCUCCGGCUCUCCGGGGAUCCCCUCUGCGCUUCCCCGGCGGCUUCGGGACCCCCGCGGAGCCCCCAAAAUCCCGGGGGGCUCCUCUGCUCAUCCCGGCCUUCCCCAGCCCCUUGGUGGCUCCGUUCCCCGCUUCCUUCGGGAAUUCCUUCCCGGUUUUCCCGGCCUUUCCCCGGCGCUAGCUGCCACCCCCGGGGGACACUUUGGGGACACUUUGGGGACCCUCGGGGACACUUUGGGGACACGGAGGGGACAAUGGGGACCGGGCUGUUUUUAUUCCGAUUUCAGAGCUGUUUGUAGCCCCACGGUUGUUUGUAUUUUCUUAUCUGAUUAAGAUAAAACGGAUAAAAAAGGGGAGUGAAAAGCGGCGCUGGAGGUUUCUGUUCUGCCCCCGGAGCGGCGUUUGGGGGUCCGGGAGGGGGGGAAGGGGGAAAAAUGGGGGGAAAAUGGGGGAAAAAAGGGAAAAGGGGAAAAGAGGAAAAAGGGGAAAAGAGGAAAAAAGGGGGAAAGGAAAAAUAGGGGAAAAAAAGGGAAAAGGGGGAAAAGGAAAGGGGAAAAGGGGAAAAAGAGGAAAAAAGGGGGAAAAAGGGGAAAAAAGGGGAAAAGGGGAGG
rnacentral:lncRNA from 1 species